rnacentral:rRNA from 1 species
GUGGGGAAUAUUGGACAAUGGGGGGAACCCUGAUCCAGCCAUGCCGCGUGUGUGAAGAAGGCCUUUUGGUUGUAAAGCACUUUAAGCGAGGAGGAGGCUACCGAGAUUAAUACUCUUGGAUAGUGGACGUUACUCGCAGAAUAAGCACCGGCUAACUCUGUGCCAGCAGCCGCGGUAAUACAGAGGGUGCAAGCGUUAAUCGGAUUUACUGGGCGUAAAGCGCGCGUAGGUGGCCAAUUAAGUCAAAUGUGAAGUCCCCGAGCUUAGCUUGGGAAUUGCAUUGGAUACUGGUUGGCUAGAGUAUGGGAGAGGAUGGUAGAAUUCCAGGUGUAGCGGUGAAAUGCGUAGAGAUCUGGAGGAAUACCGAUGGCGAAGGCAGCCAUCUGGCCUAAUACUGACACUGAGGUGCGAAAGCAUGGGGAGCAAACAGGAUUAGAUACCCCAGUAGUCC